rnacentral:misc_RNA from 1 species
UCUCCGUAGGUGAACCUGCGGAGGGAUCAUUACUGAGUGAGGGCUUCGGUCCGACCUCCAACCCUUUGUGAACCAAACUUGUUGCUUCGGGGGCGACCCUGCCGCUUCGGCGGUGCGGCGCCCCCGGAGGCCAUUAAACACUGCAUCAUUGCGUCGGAGUUAAAGUAAAUUAAACAAAACUUUCAACAACGGAUCUCUUGGUUCCAGCAUCGAUGAAGAACGCAGC